AACGAACGCUGGCGGCAUGCCUAACACAUGCAAGUCGAACGAGACCUUCGGGUCUAUGGGCGCACGGGUGCGUAACGCGUGGGAACCUGCCCUUAGGUUCGGAAUAACUCCCCGAAAGGUGUGCUAAUACCGGAUAAUGUCUUCGGACCAAAGAGUUAUCGCCUUUGGAUGGGCCCGCGUUGGAUUAGCUAGUUGGUAGGGUAAAAGCCUACCAAGGCGACGAUCCAUAGCUGGUCUGAGAGGAUGAUCAGCCACACUGGGACUGAGACACGGCCCAGACUCCUACGGGAGGCAGCAGUGGGGAAUAUUGGACACUGGGCGAAAGCCUGAUACAGCAAUGCCGCGUGAGUGAUGAAGGCCUUAGGGUUGUAAAGCUCUUUUACCCGGGAUGAUAAUGACAGUAACGGGAGAAUAAGCACCGGCUAACUCCGUG
rnacentral:rRNA from 1 species